UACGAAGGGAGCUAGCGUUGUUCGGAAUUACUGGGCGUAAAGAGCGCGUAGGCGGUUUGUAAAGUUGGGAGUGAAAGCCCAGGGCUUAACCCUGGAAAUGCUCUCAAAACUCACAAACUAGAGAUUGGUAGAGGGUCGUGGAAUUCCAGGUGUAGCGGUGAAAUGCGUAGAUAUCUGGAGGAACACCGGUGGCGAAGGCGGCGUUCUGGACUGCAACUGACACUGAGGAACGAAAGCCAGGGGAGCAAACGGG
rnacentral:rRNA from 1 species